rnacentral:lncRNA from 1 species
CAAGGUUAAUUUAUUUGAAGAACUGAAUCACACGUCAAUGAUUAAUGUGAUUGUUAUCAACUGAAUUCAAAUGUACAUAAAGUUCUUACUGAAUAUACUAUCCUGAUUUAGACAUAAUAUAUUCCUUGGUGUAAAACUAAGAGGGACGAAAUGAACCAGAGGGACAGUCAAACUCAUAAAACGAAAAUAAACUGACAACGCCAUGGCUAAAAAUGAAAAGACAAACAAUAGUACACAUGACACAACAUAAAAAACUAAAAAUAAGCAACACGAACCACACCAAAAACUAGGGGUGAUCUCAGGUGCUCCGGAAG